GAAGAAGAAGAAGAGGAGGUCGGUUGUGUUUUCUCUCUUCGAAUGAGAGCGCUGCUUUCUCCAUGCUGUACGGGCAGACUGAAGGGGAGAGAGGUGUAUCCCAAAAAAGUUUAAUUGUGCUCUGUGUGUUUCUGCAGAUAAAUAAUAACCUGUUGCAAAGCGACCCAAUGCAAAUAAGCAGCCCACUCAGGAACCUGGAACACAGCUAAGACCAAGCGAGGCACACACUCCCAUCUCUUCAACGUCUCUUAAAAAAAGAAGAGGCACUGGAGAUUAUUGAGAUGGCUGGUAAUGGAGAUUUGGGCAGACUGACUUGCAAUCCUGCUAGUGUUACUUAAAUCACAAUGUUGAUUUAGUUAUCAUCAAGACAGUAAAUACAAGACAUGUUAGUAUUUUAAGACCCAGGUUUUUUUUUUCCUUCCAAAAUAGCACAACAUGACGUGUUGCUUUUGCUCCAGUAUUUCACUUGUGUUUGUUCACAGCAGGUUACAGCUGUUUAAGACAUCUGGCUUUAAUCAAAAUCUGUAUAGACAGUGUUUUCCACAUAAUCGUAAAACUACUCAUCAAUUUGCAAACAAAUAACAGAGAUAAAAUACAUUUUUUAUUUUGCAAAAAUGUUCUGACUCACUUGACUCUCUUAACUUGAUCUAAACCAUAUCUGUUUAAAAUUCAAGCUUCUAUUUUAGCUGAGAUGAUAUUUCUCAAAAUACAUUUUAAUAUCAACUUUUAUAUUAAUUUACAUCACAUUUAUUUAUUUGGCAGACACUGGUAGCAACUUGGUUCUCAAUGUAUACAGUACAUACUUUCAGUAAUACUUACAGUGCCAUGAACACAAUGUAUGCUUUUUUAAUUCCGGUAAAAAUUAAGAUAUUAAGUUGUUGAAUGAAAUCUGGAUCGGGCUUUCUGAUUUUACUUGAAUUUUUGCCUUUUUUUUUUGUUCUCAAACCAUUUUAACAAAACUAUGAAUCACCAGAUGAGUUAAAACCAAGAACAACCAAGGAAC
ensembl:lncRNA